GGAGACCCCCCGUCGCCACGGCGGAGCCCCCCCGUGCGGCGGCGGCGACGGCGGCGGUGGCGGUGGCGAAGCCGAAGGGCGGCGCACGGCUCCUCUCCUUCCUCAUCCAGGGCGCGGUCAUGGUGGUGGCGCUCGCCCUCUUCUUCCUCUUCGCUGGGGUCGCCGCACUCAUCCUCCUCCACCUCUUCGUCGCCGGGAGGGCCUUCCGCCGCCGCCGCCGCCGCGUCACCGCCACCCGCGGCGCAGCCGCCGCCGCCGACGGCGGCGUUGACGACGGGCCCCUGCGCGGCCUCUCCCCCGCCGAUCUCCGCCGCCUCCCCUGGUUCGAGUACUCGCCGUCGCCGCCGCCGCCGCCGCCGCCGCCGCCGCCUCCCGAUUGCGUCGUGUGCCUCGAGGGGAU
rnacentral:lncRNA from 1 species